UUUUCUCAAUACUUUAACCCACCCCUACCCCCACCCCCACCACCCCCCACACACCUGUUUUGUGUUACCCCCCCCUUGGCCCUUUUUUGUUUAAGCCGCCUAACGUUUUGUUUUUCCAAUGUUUGCUGCCUUUCACUAGCGCUGUUUCCGUUUAUCUUUUAACUUCAAACAGAAAAAUACAACAACAACACACACACAACUUUACUCCUGCACUAACACACACCCCCCCCCACAGCCCCCACCACCAGAAACUCUACCCCUCUCCAUAGUAUGUUGUUUGUUGUUUAAGGACUCGCCUUAGGCCGUCCGCUAGUUCGAAAAUAGUUGAUUGAAUUUGCUUUAACUUCCAGUGUCCGACGCCCUUUGACCCCCUUUGACCCCCCCUUUGUAAUUUAAAGCAAAUUUAAUUACAAUUUCCACGCUGCAUGCCCAACAAUUUCAUUAACUUUAACACAAACCACACACACAUAUUAAAUCUGUCCAUCGAUUAAAAAUAGUUAUAAAUACCCGUAGUAGUAGAAAAUAGAGAUUAUUCUUCCUUGAGGGGCAAUUCUGAUCGAUAUAAUGCUGGGGAAUAUAUAGUCUUUAAGAGAGUUAUAUUCAGGUUCUAAGAGAGGAAAUAUUUGUAGAAAAAUCUCCUAGAAAUAAGCAAACAAAUAUCAUAGUUUAUGGGGCAUUUGGGGGGCUAUGAGGGGGCACACCACUCUAGUACCGAGUGCCUUUGGGUAUAUACGGCUCCUCCAGGGCUCUAAAGGGGGGACUGAGGGGACUCUAAAGACUACAACCCCAGAGGGCAGGCCACAGUCGUGCUGUCAAUCGAGUGCCCUGGAAAAGUACGCAUUUAGAUAUUCCUUUUUGUUUUGUCUAGUAAUAAAUAAUUAAAUGCUGAUAAAUUAUAAUUUUUGGGCAACAAAAAAUACAAGCUGGCAAGCGGUAUACAAUAAUCCCCAACGUGGAGUGGCAGGGGGGAGAGGGGGGGAAGCGGGGAAAAUAUGUUGAGGCUCGCAUAAAACACGCCAUAAAUGUUGAUUUUCGUUCGGGCCAAAAUUAACAUUUAUUAUAACGCGUUAAAACUUUGAGCACGCAGCCAGCCGGCGAAGAGAGAGAGAGUGAAAGAGAGGCACACAAGCACACGUACGUGAUUGCCACGUGUGUGCCGGAGCCAGGUCCUGGCUGGUAUCCGUAUCAGUGUACGUGUACGUGUCCCUGUCCGUGUCCUGGCUGCCAAUGCCGCGUUGUACUUAAUUCGCGACUUAAUUGCUUUCUGCUGGAAAUUUAUUUGACGCAACAACGUUGUUGCAGGGCAGCAGGGGAUUCAGGGGAGGCAGAGGAGGCAGGGUGGCGGGGUGGCAGCGGGGGGUAGCCAGGUAGAUGGCACACAUAAUUGCAGCAUAAUAUCGUAUAAAGUGAAAAAUUGUUGCAGCAUUUUAGGCGUAAUUCAAUCGAGGCUUUUCCGGAAGGAAGCCCAUCCCCUCCCCCCCCUCCCCACGUGUAUAUUGUAUGAAAAUUGUCCUUUGACACACACACACACACACACACACACACACGAGCAUAAUUGUAUUUAUGGGUCGUCGUCGUUUAAUGCGAUUAUAGCCCUGAAAAAUGAAAGAAAUUAAACGCUUACCUCCCUACCACCUCCCUACCACCUCCCUACCACCUCCCUACCACCUCCCUCCCACCUUUCUCCAUGUUUGUAUUUUAUUUUGUAAAAUGAUUUACCCCGCCUUCAUGCUUCCCCCGUAGCUUGUUGAUAACCCCACUCUAGUACUCUAGCUUUUCCCAUCAUAAAAAACCCCACAAAACGUGUAUCUUAAGUGAUUAGAGACUAGAGAUGAUCAUAGUUAUAGUAUGGGGCAGAUUUAGACGGGGUUUUAGAGCCUUAACGACCGAUGCAGCGUUGAUGCAGUUUGAUUUCUCAUUUGGGGUAUUCCCUUGCAUGACAAAAAAGUCUAUAUUUAUUGUACCCAAAAACUAUUCAAUGUUGUUAUCCACUCAUCCAGCCAAUAUAACCAUGUAUAUAUAUCUAUAGAUAUCCCAACAACAACAAAAAACAGACCCCGACACACACGAAACUGUAUUCCGUAUUUAUGAUUUACACCCCCCUAUCCACCCCCUCUCCACCAUUCACCCACCACCCCCCAAAAGUUUUCUUUGUCAAUCGACGGGCCCACCUGCCAAGCAACAAAAAAAAAAAGGGGGGGUGAAAAACUGCGGAAACAGCCGCCUGCUGUUUUUCUUUUUUGCCCAAAAAUGUAAAUGUCAACCUGUACUGUGGCCCCCCCAUUCACACAGGACAGAGGACACAGGACAGAGGACACCGAACACAGGACAUGGACACGAACGACAUGGAUUAGUCUGGCAGGAUAACGUUUGAACCGGAAAAUUAACUAAAAGCAGAGAUUUCCAUGCCAAUGAAUUGUUCAGCAGAGAGAGAGGCCGAGCCAGAGGCGGCCAGUCGGCUGUUGUCGGUUGUUUUUUUAUAGACUCGACCCCAAUAUCCACACACACACACACACACACACACACACACACAUAUACACCCAUGCCCCAGCGAAGUUGUCGCGCCCAAGCGAAUUAAUCCAUUUGUAGCAUUCAUUGCCAGAGACAGGACAAGCAGCGACAGCAGCGGCCCAAAAACAGAAAAACAAAAAAACAAAAAAAAAGCUUCAUGUCUCUCUCUCUCUCACUCUCUCUAUCCCUAUCUGCCUCUCUCUUCGUGCGAGUCCAUUUAAAUGCAAAUUUUUGUGCAGUGCCCCCAAAUGUAUGCUAAGGUUUUUUGCCCUUUCGUUUUUAUUUCUGUUUCGUUUUGGGUUUUAGUUAUUAGACACACACACAGAGAGAGAUCCCCAAUUGCGGUGUUAAACGCAUUAGCUUGGGCUCUACACCAAAAAAAAUGUAUGGCCCUGGCUUACAGGCGGGGAAAAUCAGGUCAAAUCUUGCUCUUAAACAUAUGUUUAUUCCAGCAACGCUGCAUCGGUAGGUAUAAAGCCCCCCCCCCCCC